AGGCUUCUCCAUUUGAUGGCAACAUCGUAGCAUCAGCAUCUUAUGACUUUACUGUCAAGUUGUGGGACGUUGAAAACACGCGCUGCCUCAACACAACACAACACCAUACAGAGUUUACUUAUGGUCUAGAUUUCAAUCUUCAUGUUCCUGGUCAGAUGGCAGAUUGUAGUUGGGAUGAAAGUGUACAUGUCUUCCAGUUUUUCUGAUACAUCACUCCUGGUUUUCAAGUUGGAAAUAAACGAAAGAAAUGGCUGUAAAAUUUCAUGAGUUUGUUUUGUAAUGUACAUAUACUUUAUAUAGGCAUGAGUACAACAAUCAAUAGCCACUCCUCUUUACCAAACUCACAAUGAAAAUCCCAACUUUAAGUUACCAGUUUUUAAAAAAAAUGGGUUUCUUAACUUAAACCAUGGUUGGAUUUCCCCCCUUUUUACUUUCUGUUAGUGUUAUACAGAGUAUAGAGGAAGUAUUGUAAUCGUGCACACAAUCACAUGAAAAUUUUUACACCCCAGUACUUCAUCAUAUACGGAGUAUCCAGACUUAUUUUAAUCGGGCAAAAAUAAUAAAAGAUUAUUUAUCAAAAUCGCAGCGUUCUUUGUAAUUCUGGCUGUGUAUGUCUGUAAACACAAUAACUUGAGAACCGUUACAGCUAGAUUGUCAAAUUUCGGGUGUUGGGAAAUUGCGAGACGCGAAAAGGCGAGGCGGGAAAAUGCGAGAAGAUAAUGCGAGACACCUGCGGAAUCAAGGGUAAAUAGCGAGACACCUUUUGCGGAAAAAGUUUUUUCUCAUGUUUUUUCCAUCUUUAUUUAAAUUAUUUUUUUUGUUUUAAAAU